UAGUUAGGUCCUGGGUUGAAAAAGAAAGCAUCUGAUGUGUUGGCUUUUAACCUCUUGCUGGUUCUAUGAAAUGUUCCAUUCAAUGAAUGGAAAAUCUCUAAUUCUAGUUCCAUAAUUUCCUUUCAUCUAGGAGUGCGAGAUUUUAUUUGUGAAACUUGUGGGAAAUCAUUCAAAAGGAAGAAUCAUCUUGAAGUCCAUCGAAGGACACACACUGGGGAAACACCGCUCCAAUGUGAAAUCUGUGGAUAUCAGUGUCGACAGAGAGCUUCACUAAACUGGCACAUGAAGAAACACGACACGGAGAUACAGUACAACUUCACCUGUGAAUACUGUGGCAAGAAGUUUGAGAAAAUGGACAGUGUCAAAUUUCACAAGUUAAAAAGUCACCCUGAGUGUCAGACCAUGUGACUUGACAUUGCUGGCCUUGUACUGUUGUAGCAAGAGGCAUAUGCACGAAUCCUCCUCGACAAGGCGUAACAUUUGUGCAAGCACUGUUUAUUCAAACAUAAAAUUCUAUAUUUUCAGCUUCUCUAUAUUAAAUAUUUUCAAAUUGUU